UAGGGAAUCUUCGGCAAUGGACGAAAGUCUGACCGAGCAACGCCGCGUGAGUGAAGAAGGUUUUCGGAUCGUAAAACUCUGUUGUUAGAGAAGAACAAGGACGUUAGUAACUGAACGUCCCCUGACGGUAUCUAACCAGAAAGCCACGGCUAACUACGUGCCAGCAGCCGCGGUAAUACGUAGGUGGCAAGCGUUGUCCGGAUUUAUUGGGCGUAAAGCGAGCGCAGGCGGUUUCUUAAGUCUGAUGUGAAAGCCCCCGGCUCAACCGGGGAGGGUCAUUGGAAACUGGGGGACUUGAGUGCAGAAGAGGAGAGUGGAAUUCAAAGUGUAGCGGUGAAAUGCGUAGAUAUAUGGAGGAACACCAGUGGCGAAGGCGGCUCUCUGGUCUGUAACUGACGCUGAGGCUCGAAAGCGUGGGGAGCAAACAGG
rnacentral:rRNA from 1 species